UAGUUCUCAGGUGACUGAUUAGGCCUGUGGGCCUCUUGUCUAAAAAUGUAUCCAUGGUACAUGCAUGUUGAUGACGAACAUUGUUAUUACAUGAGAGUUCAAUUUCAGAAGUACAGCUGAACUGGAAGGAUUCCAUCAGCACAUUCUGAUGUACUGUUCAAAACGACACGCCUAUACCCCACCAGUCUAUCGUGCCUGGCAGCACUGGAUCACAAUAUGAACUCAGACCGUCCAGUGCAGAAAAACAAAGAUGGAAAAAUAAGGUACCAUCGUGUAUUUAAUAAAAAAAAAAGUGGGAGAUGGACAGUGUAUGCCAUGAGAGAAAGGAAAAAAUAUAAGUAUAUGUCAUCUCUAUUGUGCGAUGCUGUAAAAUUGAGGAUUAAUGACAGAGUGGACAUGAAAAAAACUGUGUUGGCACCAGAUGAUGCCAGAUAAAUUGCAAAACAUCUGGCACCUGUAGAACCACCUUCAACUGAAAAACUUGUGUUGCAGCAGAAAUCACGAUUUUGAACUGCCACGGAAAUUAAAUGUGAAUUUUAUAUUGUAAAGAAAUGUGAAAUUAUACUUAGUAUAGUACAUGUAUUGCAGCAAUAUCUAAUUGAAAUUAUAUCAUGUAAAAUCUA